rnacentral:pre_miRNA from 1 species
AAACUGCCCCUUAUGUUUUGAUUCUUUGAUUGGACCCCCAAGGCAAAAAAAAAUAAAAAAAUUGACACGUGACACCUCACUUAAGGUGCCACAUCAGUGUUGACCGAGUCAACAAUGGACUGGGGGUCCAAAACUGCCAAAGAAUCAAAACAUAGGGGGCUGUUU